CAAUUGUAUUUAUGUUGAUCUUGAUAACUUAUACUUCCUCAGCUUGUUGCAUUUUAUGGAGCUCAUAUUCACUAUUACAUAACAUUUAUAUAACUAUGACGGUGAUAGAGACAGGAAGACAGCCAAAGAUCCCCAGGAAAACCCCACCUUCAAUCCUAAAACAGCCUGAAGGCUGAAAAACUGGACUGCUGGUUCCAGAUGAAGCCUGCCCUUUCCCAACUGAUUAUUUCUGAAUAAAGCCCACCUGCACACUGGGAGGACAGGGUGGAGCCUCAGGAAGUUCAUACCAUUUGUAGGGGGUAGGAGCCUGGCCUCUCCUGUUCCUGUGUGGUGACCUGAGAAUCAAUUUGUGAGGCAGGAAACCUGCUAGCAGGACUCUCGCUUUGCUGAGUUAAUUUUUCCUUUUUCCUUUCCACCCAAUAAGUUCCAUUUUCCUCACCCUUCUAUGUAUCCACAAGCCUAAUCAUUCCUGGUUGUGUGACAAGAGGCCAGUUUUAGCUGAACUAAGGAGAAAGUUCUGCAACAUUUUUGGCAUCCAGAUAUGGGGCUCGAGGAAAGUUACAGGGCUUUGACUCCUGAGUCUAAAAAGUACAUUACGUCCUGCUAAAUCUUAAACUGACAGCAGUUAAAGCCUCAUCUUCAGACCCAGUAGAAGAUGCCAAUCAAAAUAAACUGCAUUCAUGAGACACAGGGCCAGAAAUUAAAGCUAUUCAACUUCUGAAAGCCCAGGGACUAUCACGGAAGAGAAUAAUGAUGGAAUAAAUUGCAGCUAGAGAAGUGAAGAUGAAAGAGAACUAAUCCAUAAGCGAGGAGUUGUAACAUCAGAAGGACUGUUGCAGAUUACCCUGACCCCUACAGUCUGCCAAAGGAAAAUGCAGUGCCUGGAUAAGUGUCCUGCAUAUAUUCAUAUGCCAAUUUCUCAAUAAUGAUUUCCCCAGAUUUUAAUACUGGUGUAGAAUAAAAUCCCUUUUGUUUUUUUAUUCAAAUAGAGUCAUGAAAUAUUGGAAGUCACAAUUAGCAUGCAGGAUAAGUUGAUAGCUAAAAUAAUCAUAGUAUUUUAGUUUAAAUUCUUCCAUUUGAAAAAGUAUUUAGCCCUGAAUCAUAAAAACUUUUAAAGACAUAGAGAAAUAGGACUGUGGUGGGGUGAGGGGAGGGGGGAGGGAUAGCAUUAGGAGAUAUACCUAAUGCUAAAUGACGAGUUAAUGGGUGCAGCACACCAACAUGGC
rnacentral:lncRNA from 1 species